rnacentral:rRNA from 1 species
UACGGAGGGUGCGAGCGUUGUCCGGAAUCACUGGGCGUAAAGGGCGCGUAGGUGGCUCGUGAAGCGUGCGGUGAAAGUCCGAGGCUCAACCUCGGAUCGGCCGUGCGGACUCGCGGGCUCGAGCGUUGUAGAGGCGGGUGGAAUUCCGGGUGUAGCGGUGGAAUGCGUAGAGAUCCGGAAGAACACCGGUGGCGAAGGCGGGUCUCUGGGCAGUAACUGACGCUGAGGUGCGAAAGCGUGGGGAGCAAACAGG